GAUGUACGACUCCUAUAUGGGCAUAGUGGGCCCGAUGUCCACUCUCCCGGCCGUGAUGGGCUGUAGAUUAGAGUUUGAUCCUGGCUCAGAUUGAACGCUGGCGGCAUGCCUAACACAUGCAAGUCGAACGGCAGCACAGUAUGUAACNAUACAUAUGGGUGGGCGAGUGGCGGACGGGUGCGUAAUAUNUAGAGAUCU
rnacentral:rRNA from 1 species